UUAGUGGCGAACGGGUGAGUAACACGUGAGUAACCUGCCCUUGACUCUGGGAUAAGCGCUAGAAAUGGCGUCUAAUACCGGAUACGAGCUUCAGCCGCAUGGCUAGGAGUUGGAAAGAAUUUUGGUCAAGGAUGGACUCGCGGCCUAUCAGCUAGUUGGUGAGGUAAUGGCUCACCAAGGCGACGACGGGUAGCCGGCCUGAGAGGGUGACCGGCCACACUGGGACUGAGACACGGCCCAGACUCCUACGGGAGGCAGCAGUGGGGAAUAUUGCACAAUGGGCGAAAGCCUGAUGCAGCAACGCCGCGUGAGGGAUGACGGCCUUCGGGUUGUAAACCUCUUUUAGUAGGGAAGAAGCGAAAGUGACGGUACCUGCAGAAAAAGCACCGGCUAACUACGUGCCAGCAGCCGCGGUAAUACGUAGGGUGCAAGCGUUGUCCGGAAUUAUUGGGCGUAAAGAGCUCGUAGGCGGUUUGUCGCGUCUGCUGUGAAAUCUGGGGGCUCAACCCCCAGCCUGCAGUGGGUACGGGCAGACUAGAGUGCGGUAGGGGAGAUUGGAAUUCCUGGUGUAGCGGUGGAAUGCGCAGAUAUCAGGAGGAACACCGAUGGCGAAGGCAGAUCUCUGGGCCGUAACUGACGCUGAGGAGCGAAAGCGUGGGGAGCGAACAGGAUUAGAUACCCUGGUAGUCCACGCCGUAAA
rnacentral:rRNA from 1 species